rnacentral:rRNA from 3 species
UUAACCUGGUUGAUCCUGCCAGUAGUCAUAUGCUUGUCUCAAAGAUUAAGCCAUGCAUGUCUAAGUACAAGCCGAUGUAAGGCGAAACCGCGGACGGCUCAUUAAAUCAGAUAUAAUUCAUUGGAUCUGUAAAACCCAUUUACUUGGAUAACUGUGGUAAUUCUAGAGCUAAUACAUGCCUUCAGAGUCUCUGACAGCAAUGGAAGAGCGCUUUUAUUAGUUCAAAACCUUUCGGACCUUGGGCCAAACCAAAACCUUGGUGAAUCUAGAUAACUUCUGCUGAGCGCACGAUCAUCCUUAGCCCUCCCAAAAAGAGGCUAACGGAGUCGGCGCCGCAUCCUGCAAGUGUCUGCCUUAUCAGCUCUCGAUUGUAGGUCAAACGCCUACAAUGGCUAUAACGGGUAACGGGGAAUCAGGGUUCGAUUCCGGAGAGGGAGCCUGAGAAACGGCUACCACAUCUAAGGAAGGCAGCAGGCGCGCAAAUUACCCACUCCCGGCACGGGGAGGUAGUGACGAAAAAUACUGUUGCGAGACUCAAACGAGGCUUCGCAAUUGGAAUGAGUACACUUUAAAUCCUUGUACGAGGAUCGAGUGGAGGGCAAGUCUGGUGCCAGCCGCCGCGGUAAUUCCAGCUCCAUUAGCGUAUAUUAAAGCUGUUGCGGUUAAAACGCUCGUAGUUUGCCCUCUGCUCCGGACUGGCGGUUCGCCUUAGCGGCGUUUACUGCACAGCUCCGAGCUAUGUCCCGGUCGGCUCGCUUGGGGUGCUCUUCGCCGAGUGUCCCUCGUGGCCGGCACGUUUACUUUGAAAAAAUUAGAGUGCUCAGAGCAGGCUAUACUAAGGCCUGAAUGGUGGUGCAUGGAAUGAUGGAAUAGGACCUCGGUUCUAUUUUGUUGGUUUUCGGAACCCGAGGUAAUGAUUAAGAGAAGCAGACGGGGGCAUUCGUACUGCGACGAUAGAGGUGAAAUUCUUAGACCGUCGCAUGACGAGCUACUGCGAAAGCAUCUGCCAAGGAUGUUUUCAUUAAUCAAGAACGAAAGUUAGAGGUUCGAAGGCGAUCAGAUACCGCCCUAGUUCUAACCAUAAACGUUGCUGACUAGCGAUCCGCCGGAGUUAUUCCCAUGACCCGGCGGGUAGCUUCCGGGAAACCAAAGUAUUUGAGUUCCGGGGGAAGUAUGGUUGCAAAGCUGAAACUUAAAGGAAUUGACGGAAGGGCACCACCAGGAGUGGAGCCUGCGGCUCAAUUUGACUCAACACGGGGAAUCUUACCAGGCCCGGACACUGGAAGGAUUGACAGAAUGAAAGCUCUUUCUCGAUUCGGUGGGUGGUGGUGCAUGGCCGUUCUUAGUUGGUGGAGCGAUUUGUCUGGUUAAUUCCGAUAACGAACGAGACUCUAGCCUAUUAACUAGUCGACGGAUCUUUAUCUAAUCCGUUAUCCAAGUGCGGGUUGUUGUCGAGGUUUUGGCGGGUGGUGCGUGCGCGGUGCCGCCAUUCCUUGGUUGGUUACUUACCGCGUGCCACUUCGUCAUUCUUCUUCAUCCCUGCAUUCCAAUAAUGGUGUCCCAGUUCGCAGUUUCUUCUUAGAGGGAUAAGCGGCAGCAAAAAACAUACUAGCCGCACGAGAGAUUGAGCCAUAACAGGUCUGUGAUGCCCUUAGAUGUUCUGGGCCGCACGCGCGCUACAAUGGAGAGUUCAGCGAGCUCUCCCUGCUCCGACAGGAGUGGGUAACCUUAUCAAAGCUGUCCUUAAAGGGGAUUGGGGCUUGCAAAUGUGUCCCAUGAACGAGGAAUUCCCAGUAGGCGCAAUUCACCAGAUUGCACCGAUUUAGUCCCUGCCCUUUGUACACACCGCCCGUCGCUACUACCGAUUGAAUGGUCUAGUGAGGGCACCGGACUGGCGCCCUUGGAGUAGUGCCCGUUCUCUCUCCCUCUCCCUUUACUGGGAAGGGAGGAACGGGCCUCCUGCUCCUCGGGUCGACGGAAAGGCGUCCGAGCUGGGUCAUUUAGAGGAAGUAAAAGUCGUAACAAGGUUUCCGUAGGUGAACCUGCGGAAAGGAUCAA